AGAGAAAUGGGUAAAGUUCACACAAACCGUGCUGGUACAAACAAUGCUGACUCUGAAUGGACUGAUCGUCAGGAAGCAUUGAAGAAUUCUGUACUGAGAAUACAGUCAUCAAUGGUAAUAACUUUGAUAAGGCGCUCAUAGAGUUUUACAUGAAAAAUAAAGCUAAGAGGGUAAAACGUAAAAUCAUGGCAUCAAAAUUACGUGAUCCAUCUACUCCCUAUCACCAGCCUAAGAAGGCUAGGAUAGAAAAUGCAGAGACCACGGUUUCAACAAGGUAUUCUGGCAAAUUAUUUUCAUCAGUAAUCAGAGGAUUGACUCCUAAGCAGAUAUAUGUGAUAGAAGAGUAUGGGAUGGAUUGAAUGUUAAAGUUUGUAAAAACAGAUGUUCCACUUAGAUUUGUAAAAUGGAUAGCAAGUGUUUUUGAUACAAAUGCCUCAGAAAUCCAGUU